GCUGCUGUCAGCCAAGUCUGCUGUUGGCCAAGUCUCCAUCUGAGCUGGGCCAAGUCUCUUUCUGUUACCUGGGUCUCCAUAUGAGCUGGGCAGGGGAAGCGAAGCAGCCAUGGGGGCAGGAGACCUCCCUCCAAAGGGGUGAGAGUUCAUGUCCCUGCAGGUUGGGGUGGGGGGUGAGGGUCUGUGCUCCACCUCUGUUGAUCUCCACGUUCUCUCCUGAUGGCUCCUCUGUAACUGUGCCUGUCUUAGGUUGUUCCUUCCCUGAGGAAUCUUAC